CGGUUAAGUUAGAAAGGGCGCACGGUGGAUGCCUUGGCACUAGGAGCCGAUGAAGGACGGGACGAACACCGAUAUGCUUCGGGGAGCUGUAAGCAAGCUUUGAUCCGGAGAUUUCCGAAUGGGGAAACCCACCACUCGUAAUGGAGUGGUAUCCAUAUCUGAAUUCAUAGGAUAUGAGAAGGCAGACCCGGGGAACUGAAACAUCUAAGUACCCGGAGGAAGAGAAAGCAAAUGCGAUUCCCUGAGUAGCGGCGAGCGAAACGGGAUUAGCCCAAACCAAGAGGCUUGCCUCUUGGGGUUGUAGGACACUCUGUACGGAGUUACAAAAGAACGAGGUAGAUGAAGAGGUCUGGAAAGGCCCGCCAUAGGAGGUAACAGCCCUGUAGUCAAAACUUCGUUCUCUCCUGAGUGGAUCCUGAGUACGGCGGAACACGUGAAAUUCCGUCGGAAUCCGGGGACCAUCUCCCAAGGCUAAAUACUCCCUAGUGACCGAUAGUGAACCAGUACCGUGAGGGAAAGGUGAAAAGCACCCCGGAAGGGGAGUGAAAGAGAUCCUGAAACCGUGUGCCUACAAGUAGUCAGAGCCCGUUAACGGGUGAUGGCGUGCCUUUUGUAGAAUGAACCGGCGAGUUACGAUCCCGUGCAAGGUUAAGCAGAAGAUUAAGCGAUGAAUAGGCGCUGAGUGUGGUCGUCCCAAACCAGGUGGGUACAGAAGGGUAACAGAAUGGGGCCCGAAAACGUUGAAAAGUGCGGGGAUGAGGUGUGGGUAGGGGUGAAAUGCCAAUCGAACCUGGAGAUAGCUGGUUCUCUCCGAAAUAGCUUUAGGGCUAGCCUCAAGGUAAGAGUCUUGGAGGUAGAGCACUGAUUGGACUAGGGGCCCCUACCGGGUUACCGAAUUCAGUCAAACUCCGAAUGCCAAUGACUUAUCCUUGGGAGUCAGACUGCGAGUGAUAAGAUCCGUAGUCGAAAGGGAAACAGCCCAGACCGCCAGCUAAGGUCCCAAAGUAUACGUUAAGUGGAAAAGGAUGUGGAGUUGCUUAGACAACCAGGAUGUUGGCUUAGAAGCAGCCACCAUUUAAAGAGUGCGUAAUAGCUCACUGGUCGAGUGACUCUGCGCCGAAAAUGUACCGGGGCUAAACGUAUCACCGAAGCUGCGGACUGUUCUUCGAACAGUGGUAGGAGAGCGUUCUAAGGGCUGUGAAGCCAGACCGGAAGGACUGGUGGAGCGCUUAGAAGUGAGAAUGCGGUAUGAGUAGCGAAAGAGGGGUGAGAAUCCCCUCCACCGAAUGCCUAAGGUUUCCUGAGGAAGGCUCGUCCGCUCAGGGUUAGUCGGGACCUAAGCCGAGGCCGAAAGGCGUAGGCGAUGGACAACAGGUUGAUAUUCCUGUACCACCUCCUCACCAUUUGAGCAAUGGGGGGACGCAGGAGGAUAGGGUAAGCGCGGUAUUGGAUAUCCGCGUCCAAGCAGUUAGCUGGGAAAUAGGCAAAUCCGUUUCCCAUAAGGCUGAGCUGUGAUGGCGAGCGAAAUAUAGUAGCGAAGUUCCUGAUUCCACACUGCCAAGAAAAGCCUCUAGCGAGGUGAGAGGUGCCCGUACCGCAAACCGACACAGGUAGGCGAGGAGAGGAGAAAUCCUAAGAAAGAACCUCGGGGUAACUUCGGGAGAAGGGUGCUCUGUUAGGGUGCAAGCCCGAGAGAGCCGCAGUGAAUAGGCCCAGGCGACUGUUUAGCAAAAACACAGGUCUCUGCGAAGCCGUAAGGCGAAGUAUAGGGGCUGACGCCUGCCCGGUGCUGGAAGGUUAAGAGGAGCGCUUAGCGUAAGCGAAGGUGCGAAUUGAAGCCCCAGUAAACGGCGGCCGUAACUAAACGGUCCUAAGGUAGCGAAAUUCCUUGUCGGGUAAGUUCCGACCCGCACGAAAGGCGCAACGAUCUGGGCACUGUCUCAACGAGAGACUCGGUGAAAUUAUAGUACCUGUGAAGAUGCAGGUUACCCGCGACAGGACGGAAAGACCCCGUGGAGCUUUACUGCAGCCUGAUAUUGAAUGUUGGUACAGCUUGUACAGGAUAGGUAGGAGCCUUGGAAACCGGAGCGCCAGCUUCGGUGGAGGCAUCGGUGGGAUACUACCCUGGCUGUAUUGACCUUCUAACCCGCCCGCCCUUAUCGGGCGGGGAGACAGUGUCAGGUGGGCAGUUUGACUGGGGCGGUCGCCUCCUAAAAGGUAACGGAGGCGCCCAAAGGUUCCCUCAGAAUGGUUGGAAAUCAUUCGCAGAGUGUAAAGGCACAAGGGAGCUUGACUGCGAGACCUACAAGUCGAGCAGGGACGAAAGUCGGGCUUAGUGAUCCGGUGGUUCCGCAUGGAAGGGCCAUCGCUCAACGGAUAAAAGCUACCCCGGGAUAACAGGCUUAUCUCCCCCAAGAGUCCACAUCGACGGGGAGGUUUGGCACCUCGAUGUCGGCUCAUCGCAUCCUGGGGCUGUAGUCGGUCCCAAGGGUUGGGCUGUUCGCCCAUUAAAGCGGUACGCGAGCUGGGUUCAGAACGUCGUGAGACAGUUCGGUCCCUAUCCGUCGCGGGCGCAGGAAAUUUGAGAGGAGCUGUCCUUAGUACGAGAGGACCGGGAUGGACGCACCGCUGGUACCAGUUGUUCUGCCAAGGGCAUCGCUGGGUAGCUAUGUGCGGACGGGAUAAGUGCUGAAAGCAUCUAAGCAUGAAGCCCCCCUCAAGAUGAGAUUUCCCAUUCCGCAAGGAAGUAAGAUCCCUGAAAGAUGAUCAGGUUGAUAGGUCUGAGGUGGAAGUGUGGCGACACAUGGAGCUGACAGAUACUAAUCGAUCGAGGACUUAACCACAUUU
rnacentral:rRNA from 2 species